UACGUAGGGUGCAAGCGUUAAUCGGAAUUACUGGGCGUAAAGCGUGCGCAGGCGGUUUUGUAAGUCUGUCGUGAAAGCCCCGGGCUCAACCUGGGAACUGCAUUGGUGACUGGCAGGCUAGAGUAUGGCAGAGGGGGGGGUAGAAUUCCACGUGUAGCAGUGAAAUGCGUAGAGAUGUGGAGGAAUACCGAUGGCGAAGGCAGCCCCCUGGGCCAAUACUGACGCUCAUGCACGAAAGCGUGGGGAGCAAACAAGG
rnacentral:rRNA from 1 species